CGAGGGGCAGGUGGCUAGGGUUUUUGUAGUCAGGUGUGGGGGUUUUAUUUAUACCCUUUUGCCUUUUAAUCAUAGUCGUCCAUCUUGAUUAAAUCUAGGCCGUUCGUACUUGAUUGAAUCUGAACCGUCCGUGCGCGUGCAUUUGGGCCGUCCAUGCGCGUGCAUUUGGGUCGUCCGUGCGCACGCUUGAUCUGGGCCGUCCGUGCGCGCGGGGACGCAUUUGGGCCGUCCGAUCGCACGCACGCGGAUCGCCCACGUGGCCCGUUCCCAGGUCGACGUGGUCUUGCCACGCAGCAGGUCCUGGUUUGCCAGGACUGCUGACUGGGCCGCUGACGUGGCUGCUGACGUGGCGCUGACGGGGCACAAUUUUUUUAAAUUACGUUUUGACCCCCGGUUUCCGAUUUUCUUUUCAAAAAUACCCCCAG
rnacentral:lncRNA from 1 species